AAUCCAUGUAUAGGACACUCCCACAAAAAAUCUUUAAAUCUUUCCUAUGUUGCAUACAAGCUUUCAUCGCCCAUCUGCUUAAAUGAAGUUAAAUCUUUUCAAAGCU